rnacentral:rRNA from 1 species
GAUGAACGCUAGCGGCAGGCCUAAUACAUGCAAGUCGAACAGUGUCUUCGGACAUAGUGGCGCACGGGUGCGUAACACGUAUGCAACCUACCUUACAUUGGGGGAUAGCCUUUCGAAAGGGAGAUUAAUACCGCAUAAGACAGUAGCUGGGCAUCCAGCAGCUGUUAAAGAUUUAUCGAUGUAAGCUGGGCAUGCGUCCAAUUAGCUAGUUGGUGAGGUAACGGCUCACCAAGGCAAUGAUUGGUAGGGGAACUGAGAGGUCAAUCCCCCACACUGGCACUGAGAUACGGGCCAGACUCCUACGGGAGGCAGCAGUAGGGAAUAUUGGGCAAUGGACGCAAGUCUGACCCAGCCAUGCCGCGUGCAGGAUGAAGGCGUUAUGCGUUGUAAACUGCUUUUAUACAGGAAGAAACGACUCUUGCGAGAGGCAUUGACGGUACUGUAUGAAUAAGCACCGGCUAACUCCGUGCCAGCAGCCGCCGUAAGAC